CCUGGAUCUGCUCAUUUUAAAGCUCAUUCCAGCUAUUCUGCUGUACUUCCGGAGUAUAAUCUGAUUUAAGGAGUGGAAGAAGAUAAGGCCGUAGAGGUGAGGAACAUGGGACUCUUAGUAACCACACUGCUGACAUUGGAAGAGCCCAGGUUCGCCUGACUGCAAAGUCCAUGCCCUGGCGUAUUAGCCUGCUCGUCUGGAACAACCGCUCAUCAUCCCAUUCUGGAUGCUCCUGUUUAAGCACAUCACACACUCUGUUGUGUUCCCGCAGCCAAAUUGUGGCGUACAUCAUCAGACCAGGCACCAGACCAAAGACCUCCUGGCCCACAGCAAACCGCAGGUGUUCAGGAACAUGAGGAAGGGAAUGUUAUUGACAAUGUUCCAGACUCCCUUGAAGUGGGUAAGUAUGUAGUGCACUGUAUUUGGAGUGGGUUUCAGGAAUAACUUUAUUCUUGUCAGAAAUUCAGCUGCAAAAAAGAAGGAAAAAAAAAAGGAGAGAUUAACAGGACCCAUUAUAAGGUACUAGUUUGUAAAGUGAUAACUGGAUACAUUCCCAGUCCCAAUGAGGGCACCCAAGGGCAAACUUACGUGUUGAACAGUUUUCACCAUAGAAUCCUGUUCGGGUACAGUCACACUUAUACUGGUCAAAUCCUAUGCUCAGGCAUACACCUUGGUUUUGGCAUGGGUUGGAACAGCAAGGAUUUGCUACAAUAAAAGUAAGGACAGUAUAUAAGUCAUUCUUUAGUUUCUUAAUUUUGACUUAAACAUUUAGUUGUUUUACAUACUAUAGGUCAACUUUAUAUUAAUAAAUUCAAGAAACAUACAUGUAGUCAUGGGAAAAGUUUUUUUAACCUGUCACAUACAAUGAUCAUAAUGAAAAUACCAACUCCCAUUCAACAAUAAGGGUAACAAUAUUCAACCACAUUAGUCAUGUUGCUAAGCUUUUUCUUAGUAACAUUUUAGAUGUUCAGCAUUUUUAAGGAGCUCAAAAAAGUAGCACUUUCAAAAUUAAAGGGUAAAUUUAGGGUAAAUUUCAAUGUAAAAACAGCUUGUUUUUAAAAUAUUGAUUCCUAUUCUCUAAUAGUAGGCACCACACACAAACAUUUCACAUACAUUGAUUGUUCCUGUCUUACCGUAAUAACAAUCUGCAAAUUAGUAUCACUAUUCCUAUUUAGCAAGAUGAGAAACGUGAGACCCACACCGGUUAAGUAACUGGCUCAUGAUGAUCAGAGCUUGUAGCAAAAGGUGGGAUAUACACCCAGUUCCCUUGGACUCCAAUGGUGCAACCUCUUUACCAAGUCAAACAUCGUCUCCAUUCCGGGACUGUUCACAGUACCGGGAGGACCCGGGAGGUCAGAGCGGAACCUCGUCCGGGGUUACGGUACCGAGGGUUCCCCGGUGCAGGGAGCCAGACCCACCUGCACGGCAGAGCGCCAGGGCGGCGCAGAACAGCAAGGCGCGGGCAAGCAUCU